rnacentral:rRNA from 1 species
AUUGAACGCUGGCGGCAGGCUUAACACAUGCAAGUCGAACGAGUGGCGGACGGGUGAGUAAUGCUUGGGAAUCUCGCUUAUGGAGGGGGACACCUACGGGAAACUGUAGCUAAUACCGCGUACCAUAGGAUGAGCCCAAGAGGGAUUAGGUAGUUGGUGAGGUAAAGGCUCACCAAACCGACGAUCUCUAGCUGGUCUGAGAGGAUGACCAGCCACACUGGGACUGAGACACGGCACAGAAUCCGACGGGAGGCAGCAGGUGAGAAGAUUGCGCAAUGGGGGCAACCCUGAUGCAGCCAUGCCGCGUGUAUGAAGAAGGCCUUCGGGUUGUAAAGUACUUUCAGUCGGGAGGCGUUACCGACAGAAGAAGCACCGGCUAACUCCGUGCCAGCCGCCGCGGUAAUUC